rnacentral:rRNA from 1 species
UACGGGGGGGGCAAGCGUUGUUCGGAAUUACUGGGCGUAAAGGGCGCGUAGGCGGCCUACUAAGUCGGACGUGAAAUCCCUCGGCUCAACCGGGGAACUGCGUCCGAUACUGGUGGGCUCGAAUCCGGGAGAGGGAUGUGGAAUUCCAGGUGUAGCGGUGAAAUGCGUAGAUAUCUGGAGGAACACCGGUGGCGAAGGCGGCAUCCUGGACCGGUAUUGACGCUGAGGCGCGAAAGCUAGGGGAGCAAACGGG